GAGAGAGAGAGAGAGUUAGUUGUCCUCCUCUAUGAUAAUUAAGCCAUUUGGGGUAAUUGUAAACAAAUUUAGUUGUGUGAGUGGAAUUAAGCUUUUAUGGCAGGAUGGAAUUUUUUAGAGAUGUAUUUGAAGAUUAAAGUACUGUACAUAAGCUUGAACAUGAACAAACCAUUAAGACAGAAACAAAUAGAAAACAUCAUGAAAACACUCAAGAACUUGCCUUAAAAAGAAACAGGAAAGAAAGAGUUUAAAAAAUUGGAAAUAGUGUGAUGUAUCUGAAGUAGAGGAUGCUAAUGCUGCGGUAUAUGACACUCAAGACAUUCUGAUGUCCUGAGUGCUUUGGGGCCGUUCUCUGUUUAGCCUCUUCAGGGCGUGUGGCACAUGGAGCCAGCACUAGAGAGAGAUGUUGGAUGGAUGAGGACCAUUGUUGCCCGUCCACCCAGCUGCAAAGUUUGAUUGCCUUUAAGUGACGUCAUACAAGAGUAUCCACUUGGCCCAGCCCAGAUCUUCAGAGUAUCGUUCACCCAUGAAUUACCACGAUUCAGAGACCAGCGAAGGGUGAGGUUCACUCCUGAAGAAAACAACAAAAGAAAAGGAACACACAUUAUGUAUAACUCCAGCCGCAACCGCAGGAUCCUCCAGUGUGUGAUCAAACACCAGCUCCUCCACCGGCAGAGACUCUCCUCCAUCCAGACUGCGUGCAACCAUGCGACAGUGACAGUGGUAGUGUUUAUUGUUGCGCACAUUAAUCAUGAUGCUACCGUCAUCCAGCUCCACUGGCUUUGAGGAAACACAAGACAAGACUUCACAGACUCUUCUGAUCCAUAUUUUUGUCACACAACCACCAAUACAAUUACUUCUGUGAAAGCUGAUCAUCUUCAUACCUGACACUCAUCUGGGUCAAAGUCAAGGAUGCUUUUACGCUGGUUGUAGGGAAUGCUCUUCAGUUCAGCUCCGUAUCUCCAAGUGUUUCCAUGAUCAUCACUCAGGAUGCAAAACACUCCGUCUCCAAUGAUGCUGCCGUGGCCACACACCACCAGACGCCCAACAGCAGGCGGAUGACGUUUCUGUAAGCACAAUUACAUGAACACAUGGUCUGACAUCAUGAAGAAUAAUUUAAUGAAAUGAGUGUUUUGCACAGUCUGUGGGAUCAGUCAUUUUAGACAAAACCAAUGCUAAAAUGGCGCAAAAAAAAAAAAAAGGAUAAUUGCAUUUUGUCACUCAAGUUUGGUAGGUAAUGACAAAUCAAUACAAUUUAUUAACCGGAAGUGAAAGUAGUGACAUUUGCCAAGUAUGGUAACCCAUACUCUGAAUUGGUGCUCUGCAUUUAACCCAUCCGUAAUGAGAAGCGUGGCCGAGAGCCAUGGGAACGGAGCGAGACUGGUGGAGUGAUUUGGAAAUGAGUGACACCUGUGCCACACAGCGGUCUGGAGUCCCAUGGAGGAGAUCUGUGAGUGGAGCAGGGGUCACUCAUUUCCAAAUCACUCCACUGACCUCGCUCUAUUCCCACGGCUCUCUGCCCCGCCCCACUCGUCACACCAUCCAAUCCACGCGCACACACACACACACACACACACACACACAGCAGUGAGAAGUGAACACCUAUAGAUCCAGUGCCCGGGGGGCAACUGGGGGUUCAUUGCCUUGCUCAAGGGCACUUCAGCCAUGGGUAUUGAGGGUGGAAGAGAGAGCUGUCAUUCACUCCUCCCGCAACUCCUGCCAUCACCGAAACUCAAACCAGCAACCUUUGGGUAACUAUACCAAAUCACUAACCAUUAGGCCACUGCUGCCCAGAGCAUAUAAAAACUAAUAAUCCUGUACUGAUAAACAAAUGAUCAUCACAAACUGUUUCCAUAUGAAAAUUCCAGAACAAACAUUUCAUCAGAGCUACUGUUGCAAGAAUUCACAUAUAAUCCGAGACAACCUCCCUUUAUGAUAAUCAGUUUCGUCUAGGUUUCUGUGUUCAAGGGCUUUUAUUUUGAUUUUAACUUGACUGUGUGGUCUGUGUUCUUUUCUUGUUUGCUUUGUUCUCUUGUUUUCAAAGUAUGUGCUCAAUUCUUUUACAUAGUUAAUAAUUUGUUUGUAGUUUAGUUCUUGUAUACUGGGGACAUGUAUCCCUCAGUUUCAGUUCAGUGUUUGUCUUGCCAAGAUAAAAUGCUGGUUUUCUAUUCUCAGUUCCCUUGUGCUCACAAGUGUUUUGUUUGUUAAUGAAUACACCGUAAUAGAUCCUCGCCUCAACUCUCUCCCUGACACAACUAGUAAAUUCUUUGAUUAAU